rnacentral:rRNA from 1 species
GAUGAACGCUGGCGGCGUGCCUAAUACAUGCAAGUCGAGCGAACAGAUAAGGAGCUUGCUCCUUUGACGUUAGCGGCGGACGGGUGAGUAACACGUGGGUAACCUACCUAUAAGACUGGGAUAACUUCGGGAAACCGGAGCUAAUACCGGAUAAUAUUUCGAACCGCAUGGUUCGAUAGUGAAAGAUGGUUUUGCUAUCACUUAUAGAUGGACCCGCGCCGUAUUAGCUAGUUGGUAAGGUAACGGCUUACCAAGGCGACGAUACGUAGCCGACCUGAGAGGGUGAUCGGCCACAUUGGAACUGAGACACGGUCCAGACUCCUACGGGAGGCAGCAGUAGGGAAUCUUCCGCAAUGGGCGAAAGCCUGACGGAGCAACGCCGCGUGAGUGAUGAAGGUCUUCGGAUCGUAAAACUCUGUUAUUAGGGAAGAACAUACGUGUAAGUAACUGUGCACGUCUUGACGGUACCUAAUCAGAAAGCCACGGCUAACUACGUG